rnacentral:rRNA from 1 species
GACGAACGCUGGCGGCGUGCCUAAUACAUGCAAGUCGAGCGAAUGGAUUAAGAGCUUGCUCUUAUGAAGUUAGCGGCGGACGGGUGAGUAACACGUGGGUAACCUGCCCAUAAGACUGGGAUAACUCCGGGAAACCGGGGCUAAUACCGGAUAACAUUUUGAACCGCAUGGUUCGAAAUUGAAAGGCGGCUUCGGCUGUCACUUAUGGAUGGACCCGCGUCGCAUUAGCUAGUUGGUGAGGUAACGGCUCACCAAGGCAACGAUGCGUAGCCGGCCUGGGAGGGUGAUCGGCCAGACUGGGACUGAGACACGGACCAGACUCCUACGGGAGGCAGCAGUAGGGAAUCUUCCGCAAUGGACGAAGGUCUGACGGAGCAACGCCGCGUGAGUGAUGAAGGCUUUCGGGUCGUAAAACUCUGUUGUUAGGGAAGAACAAGUGCUAGUUGAAUAAGCUGGCACCUUGACGGUACCUAACCAGAAAGCCACGGCUAACUACGUGCCAGCCGCCGCAGUAA